rnacentral:rRNA from 1 species
UUGGGUUCGAUUCCGGAGAGGGAGCCUGAGAAACGGCUACCACAUCUAAGGAAGGCAGCAGGCGCGUAAAUUACCCAAUCCUGACACAGGGAGGUAGUGACAAGAAAUAUCAAUAUAAGACGUUUGUGUCUUGUAAUUGGGAUGAGAGCAAUUUAAAACGCUUCUCGAGUAUCAAUUGGAGGGCAAGUCUGGUGCCAGCAGCCGCGGUAAUUCCAGCUCCAAUAGCGUAUAUUAAAAUUGUUGCGGUUAAAACGCUCGUAGUUGGAUAUCUGCUAAGGGGUUCCGGUCCUUCCCAGUGAAGAAUACGCGGAACUCUCCUUGGCAUUUGUCCAGGGAAAGUGUUUGCACUUUGUUGUGUGUCACGUGAUCUGGAUUUUUACUUUGAGGAAAUGAGAGUGUUCCAAGCAGGCUCACGCCGUGAAUAUGAUAGCAUGGAAUAAUAGCAUAGGACCCCUUUCCAAAGCUGUUGGUUUUUGGAACGAGGUAAUCAUAAUAAGGAUAGUUGGGGGUAUUCGUAUUUAACUGUCAGAGGUGAAAUUCUUGGAUUUUUUAAAGACGAACUACUGCGAAGGCAUCUGCCCAGGAUGUUUUUGUUGAUCAAGAACGAAAAUUAGGGGAUCGAAGACGAUCAGAUACCGUCCUAGUCUUAACCUUAAACUAUGCCGGCUGGAGAUCGGAGUUGUCAGAAUUGUGACGGCUUCGGCAUCCUGAGAGAAAUCGAAGUCUUUGGGUUCCGGGGGGAGUAUGGUCGCAAGGCUGAAACUUAAAGGAAUUGACGGAAGGCACCACCAGGAGUGGAGCCUGCGGCUUAAUUUGACUCAACACGGA